CGAUGCAACGCGAAAAACCUUACCCACCUUUGACAUGGCAGGAAUCCUGAAGAGAUUUGGGAGUGCUCGAAAGAGAACCUGCACACAGGUGCUGCAUGGCUGUCGUCAGCUCGUGUCGUGAGAUGUUGGGUUAAGUCCCGCAACGAGCGCAACCCUUGCCAUUAGUUGCUACGAAAGGGCACUCUAAUGGGACUGCCGGUGACAAACCGGAGGAAGGUGGGGAUGACGUCAAGUCCUCAUGGCCCUUAUAGGUGGGGCUACACACGUCAUACAAUGGCCGGUACAGAGGGUAGCCAACCCGCGAGGGGGAGCCAAUCCCACAAAGCCGGUCGUAGUCCGGAUCGCAGUCUGCAACUCGACUGCGUGAAGUCGGAAUCGCUAGUAAUCGCGGAUCAGCAUGUCGCGGUGAAUACGUUCCCGGGUCUU
rnacentral:rRNA from 1 species